AGAUUGAACGCUGGCGGCAGGCCUAACACAUGCAAGUCGAGCGGUAGAGAGGUGCUUGCACCUCUUGAGAGCGGCGGACGGGUGAGUAAUGCCUAGGAAUCUGCCUAGUGGUGGGGGAUAACGUUCGGAAACGGACGCUAAUACCGCAUACGUCCUACGGGAGAAAGCGGGGGACCUUCGGGCCUCGCGCCAUUAGAUGAGCCUAGGUCGGAUUAGCUAGUUGGUGAGGUAAUGGCUCACCAAGGCGACGAUCCGUAACUGGUCUGAGAGGAUGAUCAGUCACACUGGAACUGAGACACGGUCCAGACUCCGUAGGGAGGCAGCAGUGGGAUAUGGACAAGUGGGACGAAAGCCUGAUCCAGCCAUCGCCGCGUGUGUGAAGAGGUCUUCGGAUUAGUAAGCUACGUUUAAGGUGGAAGGAAGGUUUAGUAAACGUUAAGUAACGUUGACUAACGUUUGGACGUUACGACAAGAAUAAGCACCGGUCUAACUCGUAGCCAGCACGCCGA
rnacentral:rRNA from 1 species